rnacentral:rRNA from 1 species
UGCGUAGGCGGGCUAAUAAGUCAGUGGUGAAAUGUUCCGGCUCAACCGGGAACCUGCCAUUGAUACUGUUAGUCUUGAGUACGGCUGAGGUAGGCGGAAUGUGUAAUGUAGCGGUGAAAUGCUUAGAUAUUACACAGAACACCAAUUGCGUAGGCAGCUUACUAGACCGUAACUGACGCUGAGGCACGAAAGCGUGGGUAGCGAACAGGAUUAGAUACCCUGGUAGUCC